rnacentral:rRNA from 1 species
UCUGGAAACUGUNUGACUUGAGUGCAGAAGGGGAGAGUGGAAUUCCAUGUGUAGCGGUGAAAUGCGUAGAUAUAUGGAGGAACACCAGUGGCGAAAGCGGCUCUCUGGUCUGUCACUGACGCUGAGGCUCGAAAGCGUGGGUAGCGAACAGGAUUAGAUACCCUGGUAGUCCACGCCGUAAACGAUGAGUGCUAGGUGUUAGGCCCUUUCCGGGGCUUAGUGCCGGAGCUAACGCAAUAAGCACUCCGCCUGGGGAGUACGACCGCAAGGUUGAAACUCAAAGGAAUUGACGGGGGCCCGCACAAGCGGUGGAGCAUGUGGUUUAAUUCGAAGCAACGCGAAGAACCUUACCAGGUCUUGACAUCCCGAUGCUAUUCUUAGAGAUAGGAAGUUACUUCGGUACAUCGGAGACAGGUGGUGCAUGGUUGUCGUCAGCUCGUGUCGUGAGAUGUUGGGUUAAGUCCCGCAACGAGCGCAACCCUUAUUGUUAGUUGCCAUCAUUAAGUUGGGCACUCUAGCGAGACUGCCGGUAAUAAACCGGAGGAAGGUGGGGAUGACGUCAAAUCAUCAUGCCCCUUAUGACCUGGGCUACACACGUGCUACAAUGGUCGGUACAACGAGUUGCGAGCCGGUGACGGCAAGCUAAUCUCUGAAAGCCGAUCUCAGUUCGGAUUGGAGGCUGCAACUCGCCUCCAUGAAGUCGGAAUCGCUAGUAAUCGCGGAUCAGCACGCCGCGGUGAAUACGUUCCCGGGCCUUGUACACACCGCCCGUCACACCACGAGAGUUUGUAACACCCGAAGUCGGUGAGGUAACCUUUUAGGGGC